CAUCAGUAGGUGUUGAUUCUCUUUGCUUGAUAUUCUUUUCUUUUUCUUCUUCCUGCUGAAUUUCUUCAGAAAAUUGAGAACACCAAGCACUCGUUUCCAUAUAUCAAUCAUAAGAAUUUUAAUCUCCAAUUUCUUGAAGAUCUCCAUAAAGCACUUAAACUUCUUUUCCUUCCUAUGAUUUUUCUUUUGAUGAGGAAGAGGUUUUUCAUAUGAUAUUUCCUUCUUUCCCCUCUUCCUCUUUUUCUCACUCUUCUCCUCCCUCAACUUUCUCUUUUUCUCUUUUCUUAUUCUCUUCUUUAUUUUCGCAUAUUUUUUCUUUUUUUCUUUUUUCUCAACCACUGCUUUUUCUCCCUCAUCAUCUUUAUCUUCGUCACCUAACUUUUUUUGUUUCUUCUUCCUUUAAAUCUCUCUCUAUCUUUUCCUCCUUUCUCUCCAUUUUUUUCUCCUCUAUCUUUUCCUCAUCAACAACCUUAUCAAUUUGUGCCUCCAAGUUCCUGAAGGUAACUUCAUAGCUCUUGGAAUCGUACUUCUUCAAAAAUUUGUCGAAAUUUUCAUUAAGGCUCUUGACUUGUUCCGUCUAAUUAGCUACCUGAUGACAUAGUUGUUGAUCGUCCUCCCACGGUUUAUUGGUAAAGAGAGUUGUUGCUACCAUAAACAUUGCUCAACUUCCCCCAACGUUUCU
rnacentral:lncRNA from 1 species